rnacentral:rRNA from 1 species
ACGAACGCUGGCGGCGUGCCUAAUACAUGCAAGUCGAGCGGACUGAUUAAGAGCUUGCUCUUAUGACGUUAGCGGCGGACGGGUGAGUAACACGUGGGCAACCUGCCCUGUAGAUCGGGAUAACACCGAGAAAUCGGUGCUAAUACCGGGUAAUAUCUGAGAUCACAUGAUCUUAGGUUAAAAGAUGGCUCCGGCUAUCACUACAGGAUGGGCCCGCGGCGCAUUAGCUAGUUGGUAAGGUAAUGGCUUACCAAGGCGACGAUGCGUAGCCGACCUGAGAGGGUGAUCGGCCACACUGGGACUGAGACACGGCCCAGACUCCUACGGGAGGCAGCAGUAGGGGAUCUUCCGCAAUGGACGAAAGUCUGACGGAGCAACGCCGCGUGAGUGAUGAAGGGUUUCGGCUCGUAAAGCUCUGUUGUUAGGGAAGAAACAGUACCGAACGAACUAGGUCGGUACCUUGACGGUACCUAACCAGAAAGCCACGGCUAACUACGUG